UUUCAUAAUUGAAAUUUGUUUGGGAAUAGAGGGUAUUUUGGAGGUGCAAGAAACAUUGGGCAGUAUUUGGAUGUUAUUCAAAUUAGUAUGUUCUACUCUAUAUGAGUGAGGAAGACCUUCGGAAGGCAUUUGGGCAGUUUGGUCCUCUCAAGGAUGUCUACAUUCCAAAGUCUUACAUUACUGGGUAUGGUUCUUUAGAUUUAAUUAGUCUUGUUAUUGAGCUUAUGCUGCUCUGUUAUCUCUUGAUUUUGUUUUUACAUUGAGGUUCUUGAUACAUAACAGUGGAAUAAAAGUCUUGAAGACACUAAUCAAGUUUUAAGAGGUCAACGGGAGAAUCAAGUAGUAAGAGAUCUAUUGACAUCAAUGAAGUAGUAAAAGUUGUGUUCAAGGUUUUGUAACGAUAGAGAGAAGAUUCAAUGAGUUUUUUUAAUUUUUGUAUUCUUCUACUUACUUACUAGAAGGGCCGAAUGAUACUAACUCUUGAGAACUCGCCGUAAACUUGGGAGUUGUAACUUCAAAUGCAUCAAAUAUUUUGUUAUGA